CUGUUGCUUUUUUUUUUUAUCUCUUUUUGUUUUGCAGCGGCCUUGUUAGUUUAUUUUCGACUUUAUAAGAUUGACUGUCUGUUUGAUAUCUUUCCCCGUAACUUUUGCUCAAUACGAAGCCAGAGCAUAUGGAGAAAAAAGUAUUAUAAUUACAAUACUCAAUAGAACUUAAACACAAGUUCCUAAAUGAUGGUUAAACUUGUUACAC
rnacentral:lncRNA from 1 species